rnacentral:rRNA from 1 species
GAUGAACGCUGGCGGCGUGCCUAAUACAUGCAAGUCGAGCGAACGGACGAGAAGCUUGCUUCUCUGAUGUUAGCGGCGGACGGGUGAUUAACACGUGGAUAACCUACCUAUAAGACUGGGAUAACUUCGGGAAACCGGAGCUAAUACCGGAUAAUAUUUUGAACCGCAUGGUUCAAAAGUGAAAGACGGUCUUGCUGUCACUUAUAGAUGGAUCCGCGCUGCAUUAGCUAGUUGGUAAGGUAACGGCUUACCAAGGCAACGAUGCAUAGCCGACCUGAGAGGGUGAUCGGCCACACUGGAACUGAGACACGGUCCAGACUCCUACGGGAGGCAGCAGUAGGGAAUCUUACGCAAUGGGCGAAAGCCUGACGGAGCAACGCCGCGUGAGUGAUGAAGGUCUUCGGAUCGUAAAACUCUGUUAUUAGGGAAGAACAUAUGUGUAAGUAACUGUGCACAUCUUGACGGUACCUAAUCAGAAAGCCACGGCUAACUACGUG